AAUGUGGUCGUGUCGUGUGAACUCUGGGGUCGCUGCUCGGGCUCUCCAUGCUAGAUCUCGAUCAACUCCAUGCUGUUUGGCAGAUUUUAGGCCUGAGCCAGCCAUCGUAACCACAAGACAUUCAAGUAUUGCCUGUGCUGGUAUUACCCUGUCAUCAGCAACAGUCAUCUGCAUCAAAUCACUUGGAUAAACAGCAUCACCUCUUGGUUGGGGGUAACUACUGAUGUCGGUCGAGAUUCGGAUCUCGUCUCCCCCUUUCUUGA